rnacentral:rRNA from 1 species
UACGGAGGGUGCAAACGUUGCUCGGAAUCAUUGGGCGUAAAGCGCACGUAGGCGGUUCGAUAAGUCGGAUGUGAAAGUCGGGGGCUCAACCCUCGAAUGCCGGUGGAUACUGUCGGACUAGAGUACGGAAGAGGCGAGUGGAAUUCCUGGUGUAGCGGUGAAAUGCGCAGAUAUCAGGAGGAACACCAAUUGCGAAGGCAGCUCGCUGGGACGUUACUGACGCUGAGACGCGAAAGCGUGGGGAGCAAACAGG